UACGGGGGGGGCAAGCGUUGUUCGGAAUUACUGGGCGUAAAGGGCUCGUAGGCGGCCAACUAAGUCAGACGUGAAAUCCCUCGGCUUAACCGAGGAACUGCGUCCGAUACUGAAAGGCUUGAAUCCGGGAGAGGGAUGUGGAAUUCCAGGUGUAGCGGUGAAAUGCGUAGAUAUCUGGAGGAACACCGGUGGCGAAGGCGGCAUCCUGGACCGGCAUUGACGCUGAGGCGCGAAAGCUAGGGGAGCAAACAGG
rnacentral:rRNA from 1 species